rnacentral:rRNA from 1 species
AUCAGCCUUUCGGGUGCGAUUCUGUGGAGUGUGAGGAGCUUAACACCUUCAUGCUUUGCAUAUUUGUGCUCUUGGGUGUACUUGCCCGUGUGGUUGGUUAACAUCAAUUUUGGUGGUCAUAAAAUGACUGGAGGAAUGUAGCUUUGAUCUCGUAUUGAAGUGUUAUAGCCUUCGGUAGAUGUGAUGAUCGAGAUUGAGGAUUGCAACGGAUACCCUUCGGGGCUACCUGUCUGGUCUCUGAUCGUUGCUCUGGUGCCGAAAGCUUGCUUACGGUUAUCAAAGUCGAUGGUCAAUAGGUUAGAACGGGUUAAAUUCGUUAAGGAUGUUGACGUAAUGGCUUU